rnacentral:rRNA from 1 species
UACGAAGGGGGCUAGCGUUGCUCGGAAUCACUGGGCGUAAAGCGCACGUAGGCGGAUCUUUAAGUCGGGGGUGAAAUCCCGGAGCUCAACUCCGGAACUGCCUUCGAUACUGAAGAUCUUGAGUCCGGGAGAGGUGAGUGGAACUGCGAGUGUAGAGGUGAAAUUCGUAGAUAUUCGCAAGAACACCAGUGGCGAAGGCGGCUCACUGGCCCGGUACUGACGCUGAGGUGCGAAAGCGUGGGGAGCAAAC